CCCUGGUUAGCUCAGUUGGUAGAGAGCUCCACUGGGAAUGGAGAGGUCCUUAGUUCGAUACUGGGACCAGGCG
rnacentral:tRNA from 1 species